rnacentral:lncRNA from 1 species
ACGAAUUCGGAAAAGAAGAGAAAAUGUAAUCGAAUGUUGAGAAAAUGAGAGCCAAAACCUGAAAGUGUUGAGAGGGAGAGAAAAUGUAGUAAUCAACCAUAAGGGGAAAAAUCGAUUGGAAAAGGGAAUUAAACAAAAAUAUUCAGUCAAGUAGAAAACAAACAAAAAGGGUAAAAAAUAAUACCCAAGAGGGUCUAUAGCCUAUUUGGCCUCCCCAAAACCAAAAAGAAAAAAAAAGUAACAAAAAUAUGACUAAAAACAAGUUCCCUUGCACAAACCAACCCAAUUCCGAAAGAAAAAACACCCCGAAAACUGAAUUCAAGAGUGCCUAAAGUCCCUAUACGGCACAACUCUCCCUUUCCCCUCUCAUAGCCUUGAUUUCCGCCUAUAAUUUCUCCACAACAACAGCCAA